GGCAGCGGACACGGCUCUACUUAAAUACGGACUAGAGGUUUUUCUGAAAUAUAUCAUGUAAAAAGAGAUUUCUCUUAAGAGCUUAAUUGAAGUCUGUAUGGAUUUGACGUUUUGUCUGUCUGAUGUUUAACACGCAUCAUUCUGCUUUUGCCUCAGACUGACGGUGAUCCUGAUAACCCCACAGUUCUGAAUAGUCCAGCACCUUCACUCUUCUGCAGUUUUUGAAGAAAGGACAAAAAGUUAUUGAGGUGAGACAGGAAGAAUGGGGCUGGCUCAUAGUCUGCUCUCAAACCUUCAUUACUUGCUCCUUCACUGCAGAUACGAACUGACAGUAUCCCUCCUUUCUACACGCCCUUUCCGCUGACCUUUCCUGUCUGCUUUUCUCGGGUGCAGGCAGGAGUGAUGAAGCCUCUCAGUGCUUAGGCCAGUAUGACUAAGAC
ensembl:lncRNA